rnacentral:misc_RNA from 1 species
AAGUCGUAACAAGGUUUCCGUAGGUGAACCUGCGGAAGGAUCAUUAAUGAAUGAUAAUUUUUUGGGGUUUUCCCUGAAAAAUAAUUCACCAUUUGUGCAUUGUUAUUAGAUAUACUUUGGUCAGAGCUUUGAUUUCAUUUUUUGAAAUCAACUUCUUGCUGACUCUAUCCUUUUUAAAGGAUAGUUGGCUAUGAAGCGGCCUACCAAGGUUUUUUAUCAAACUCUUGUAUUUUUGUCUGACCUAAACUAUUAUAAUUAAAUCAUAACUUUCAACAACGGAUCUCUUGGCUCUC